rnacentral:sRNA from 1 species
ACCAGCAUGCCUCCGUGUUGCUGUCUGUGGUGUUUACCACAGUCCUAAAGCCUUCUGCCUCCCUCCAGAAGAGCAUCCAGAGCCAUCUCCCCUGCAGCUCAGCUCUGACAGUGGCGGGUGUUCUUGUGAGGCCUUUGAGAACUUGCUUUGGGGAAGGGCUGCCCAGAAGACCCCUCCAGGUCCUGGGCCUUGAAAGGCCAUGGGAGAAUCAGAAGGUAUUUCCCAGCUCCUGAGUUCAGUGAGUGUCCCUCUCACCAGGCACCUCCUACAAGUUUCGAGUCCGGGCUCUGAACAUGCUGGGGGAGAGCGAGCCCAGCGCCCCCUCUCGGCCCUACGUGGUGUCGGGCUACAGCGGUCGCGUGUACGAGAGGCCCGUGGCAGGUCCUUAUAUCACCUUCACGGAUGCGGUCAAUGAGACCACCAUCAUGCUCAAGUGGAUGUACAUCCCAGCAAGUAACAACAACACCCCAAUCCAUGGCUUUUAUAUCUAUUAUCGACCCACAGACAGUGACAAUGAUAGUGACUACAAGAAGGAUAUGGUGGAAGGGGACAAGUACUGGCACUCCAUCAGCC